rnacentral:rRNA from 1 species
UACGGAGGGAGCUAGCGUUAUUCGGAAUUACUGGGCGUAAAGCGCACGUAGGCGGCUUUGUAAGUAAGAGGUGAAAGCCCAGAGCUCAACUCUGGAAUUGCCUUUUAGACUGCAUCGCUUGAAUCAUGGAGAGGUCAGUGGAAUUCCGAGUGUAGAGGUGAAAUUCGUAGAUAUUCGGAAGAACACCAGUGGCGAAGGCGGCUGACUGGACAUGUAUUGACGCUGAGAAGCGAAAGCAUGGGGAGCGAACAGGG